UGUCAAGCGUCAAGUGAUCUGGUAUUUUUAAGGAUUUUUUUUUUUAAUAUGUAGGCUAUAUGGCCAUCAAGACGCAGUCACUUCACUUAUAACAGAGUAGAGCUCAUAUUGGUGUAUAAUAAGUCUGCGGUCCUCUCUGUCACCUCAAGACAAGCCCGGAGGAAGAAAUCAGACGGGAAUUACUAAUCUCACAACAGGUGUGAAAGAUCACGGACAUAAUGUGCAGAAUCAAGCACCGGCCUUCGGAUGAAAAGGAACACGUUCGCCACUGUCCCCAGCAGAACAGAAAGGAGGUAUUGGAUAUUGGAUUCUGCAGAAAAUAUUACAAUUCACAGUUGAAGACUGGAUUUGCCCAGAGUUUUCCUCCACUGGCAUGAUGUUUGUCAGAUGCUUAUAACUAUAUACCUGCCUGUGAUUGGCUCAUCUGUGUCUCAUCACCAGCAGGAAACGACUUCACUUCCUUUAAUAAUGACUUCAUACAGAAUUAUGUGCCGCCACAGUGUCUCUCGGUUUUAUGGCAUUCUUCUAUUGUAAAUGGUCCAGUUUAUUUUGAUGUCAUCAACACACACACACACACACACACACACACACACACACACACACACACACACACAGGUUUUGAGACAGACUGCUGUGUUCAAAACACUAUGUCCCAAAUGUCCACUAACGGCUGGCCUUAGGCACUGAAUAACCAGUGACUUAUCAAAAAAAAAGUAUAGUUUUAAAUGGAGGAACAAAUCCUAACUCAAUAUUCAGAUUUGACAUCAUAUAUUUCCUUCAGAUUGUGACAUGGACCAUCCUAUCUCGCGUUAUUAAAUGGUGUCACCUUUUAACUCCUGAUAUUCAGUCAAUUCAUGCUGUUCUGGGUGUUAAACAUUGAAUAGGUGUAGAACAGUUUCUGUUUUAAAUCCCUGAAAAUAGCCUAAUAUUUCAUGAAUGUAAUAUUUAUUUAUUUAUUUAUUUGUUUGUUUAUUUAUUUAUUUAUUUAUUUAUUUAUUUUUCAAUUAUGAAAUACAAUUAGUUCCUAGUAGUCUACACAUGCUUUUGGACACUAUAUAUAUCCUCUGUAUUUGUGAACUGACUAAACGUCCAUGCUCUUUGUGUUUACAUGUAGGCAGCUUGUUUUUCUGGCUGGCUUUUUAUGUCAAACAAAGGAAGUUGUUUCCGUAUGACUCCUCAUGCCACUCCUCAGAGCCUCUCUGUCUCUGUCAUCCACCGCAACAUAAAUCAGCGUUUGGAGUGCAGGAGUGCGUCUCGGAGCCGGAGAGGCCUGAGGCGCUCUCAUAGGAACAAUGCUGAGAUCAAAGCGCUGAGCUCUGACAGCCAAUGAGUGGCUUCCCGUGGCCGAAGGAGCAGAGCGAGGCUCACACCUGUACCAGGUGAUUACAGAUAACACAGAUAAUGAGGUUGGUCUAUUUGGUAGUUGAUCAGCUGCUGGACUGCCAAGGAAAUAUAUAGGAGGAUGAAGACUUGUGCAGGAAGGCAGGAAAGGGGAGAGAGAGAGGUUAACAAAGACACACUGUCAGACUGAAAGCCAUAAAGAGCUAACCGUGGCCCUGGUGGUCAGGCAGAUUAGUGUUACCAUCUGACUGAGUCAUGGCACCAAGUGCUGGAGUGCAGCGAAGCAGAAGUGGAGGGGUGAAGCAGCACAGACUGAGAGAGAGGAGCAGCCAUCUCUAAGAAAGGAGCUAAGACUCUGCAGGUAUUCCAGAGUGAGCCGUGUGCUCUUGGAGAAGGGCUUCAUUAUACCCAGAGUAAUGAAAUUCAGGCAUCGCAAAGAGGCGGCCAAGGGAGCGCUGUCACGGUGUGGAUGAGGGAACUCUCCAGUGAUCAGACAGGACUGGCAGUCCCACAGCAUAUAACAGCUCACCUCUGCAUUUCCACAGGGACAGAAAUUACUGCACAGUCCUGACAAGCAGUACUGAUCGUUGAUCUAAACAACACUGUUUUCCACCUGCUGCAUAUCCCCUGGACCUGCUUUACCAACCUUUUCUCUCUCUCUCUCUGUCUCUCUUUAUCAGAGCAGAUUUUCUUGGCGUCUGCAGGUUUCUCUAUCUGGAGAAUGCUGUAUUCAUUGCCAGCACUGCUCAGAUGCUGCUGUUACACUGAUAGUGUCAGACAAGUUAAAUAAUGUGUGAAAUUCUUUACAUAAGGACUGUUACACGGAUGAUGAGAGCACGGAUUGAGGCUUGCAUAUCUUCUUUCAUGGCUGGCGAGGUGUUGUGACCUUUUAACUGAGCUGGCCUGCUUUGAUAUGGCUGUGGCUUGUUCGUAUAGAGUGUCGAUUUUAUUUCUUACAGGGUUUCAGAUAGCCGAGAGCAAAAGCAUCGGAGCGUGUACUCAAAAGAACAUAAAAGAAUCACUACUGAGCUCUCCACUGUUCCUAAUAUGGUUAAUACUAUUAUUAAAAUGACAUAUACGGUGCAUUUGUAAAGGCAAAAGCAGUGUGAUUAAACAGGGCAAACACUUUUAUGAGCAGUGUAGUUUUCACUUAGGUAGUGAAUUAAAACGCUGGGAUCCUGAAGCCUAGCCAGUACAUUGCAUGGCACUGGACACGCAUUCACACACACAUUCGUGUAAUAAUGCUAUAUCUACACCUAAUCGUAUUAACUAAAAGAAAGAAUUUGAUACUUUUUAAGUUUUUAAAGCAUUUUUCUUAGAGGGGACUAUAGAAAUGUCCCCACAAGGUCAAAAUCGUUCAAAUUUUCCAAUUAUUAUUGAGGCAUUUGUGGGCAUCCAGCGAUAAAUUUCACAUACAUCAUAUUGUUCACAAUAAGAAUUACAUUUCACCAUUAAAAUAAGCUUUAUGUACAGUUGAAAUAAAAAUGUGAUGAGUGGCUCACAAACAUAUGUUGUUUUGAAACAGGGUCCUUUAACUAAAGUCUAACCACAGCUUUUAGAAGUUUCUCAGGCCCUAAUUGGUCUGUGCAGAUGUGUCUUCGUCCCGAGGGUAUGUGUCUUAACUGUUGUUCGUCUCAUCUGGUAGAUGUGCUGCCAUUGUGACACACCAUUUCAGCUUUCACGGGAAGUGCCCGAGGCGAAGAACAGCAUUUCCCAGAACGAUGUCACAAAACUGUGUGUGUGUGUGUGUGUGUGUGUGUGUGUGUGUGUGUGUGUGUGUGUGUGUGUGUGUGUGUGUGUGUUGGAAAGCUUCACCUGGCGCAGCAACAACAGGUUGACUGAUCCAGCUGCCUAACCUGCUCUUGGUGCAGGUACUUCUAAUAUGGCUACACUAAACACAUUCUACACAACUUGUUCCACACCUUACACAUGUUUUGACAUGUUUAUAGACUUUUGGCCAGCUGUGAAAUACAAGACGACAACAACAACAACAAAAAAAACUCCCAGACUCCCAGUUUAUGGCUUCUUAAAUGGGAAUACAGUUAUUAUACGUACUUAGUUAAACCAUAGCUAAGGGUUGCAUUAGCAUGUUAUCAGCAGUAGGACAUUGUAAUGAAUGUGUACACUAUUCAGGUCAGUCCCUGAGGGAAUGCAUGCCCUGCAGGUAUUUGCACUACAACACCUGUUCAUGCUAAUUUGCUCAUGUUCCCGCAAGGCAUUGUAACGAGGUUGUUUAAUUGGGUGUUGGAUGGUGUUAAGUGGGAGCAAACAUAUGAAUACAGGCUUCAAAUUGAAAAGCCUAAAAUUAAAUCCUAAUUAAUAUGUGUAGAACCCAAUUAAUACUUAGUGUCACUGAUAUUAAAAUUAAAGUCAGGUGAAAACACAAACAGAUUACUGUGAAACUGUAACUGAUUUAAUCACAUGAAAUUACUGGUGAGGUAAAACAGCAGUACAGGUUCAGAAAAGUCUGAAGCUUUAUUCAAUGCAUUACUGUUAUC